ACCGUGGCUUAGCUCUCCUCAAACGAUUAGAGUAAUAUCUUCGCUGAAAUUUCUUGUUAACUAUACGAAGUUGAACUCAUGAUAGGUCAAAGGGUGGAGCUUCUAUCUUUGAGAUUAAGUUUAAGCAAAAAAGAUCUGACAAUCCUUCAAAUUUUAAAGUUAGGUGACAGUUUCAAUUUAAAACGGCGCUGAUGCAACUGUAGAAAAAUUUAUCAGGUGGUUUUCAGGAAAGCUGAUUUCUUUGAAGAAGUUUAGAUCUAAAACUCAGCUUUGGUGGUGACGAUGAACGGAGCUUCUGACGGACGACGGUGAUCAUUGAAGAUCAAAUUUUGUUGUUUUCGUUCAAACACGCGUCCCACACUUGUCAAAAUUUGGGCUUUUUUAAUCGUUUGUUCUAAUAUGUACAGUCCAGAUCGAUUGGCUUUCACAAAACCAUUUGUAAUGCCUCAUAUGGUUUUUCCAUAUUAAUCGAUUUGGUCAACAAAAAAAAAAAAAUUUACGACUAGUCCAAGAGUUUCUAUUUACUCUGUUUUGGUUAAAUAUUUUUCAACCGAUAUAUUUCUAGAAUUGCAAUUAAUCAUCGUAUUUUGUAACAUUAUUAUUUAUAUGAAAAAUA
rnacentral:lncRNA from 1 species